GAAAUUAUGAUAAAAUGUCCUUCUUUUUCUUUAUAUAGCCAAACUCCAUUACCUGCAGUGACGAACCCAAAGGUUACCCAAAGAAAUUAAACUUGGCAAAUGGAUGUGGUUCAUUUCACAAAGGUUGGAAAAUUAAAAUAUGUGUGACAUUCCAUAUACACAUUGGAGAUUUCAGUGGGCAAAUGCUUUCUGAUUCAGUGGGCAAGUUCUGAGUCACAUAUUUAUUGGAAGUUAUGAUAAAACUUAUGGCAACCAUGGGAAUACCUGUUUAGAUUAAAACUGACAAUGUAGCCGGACAUGGUGGCACACGCCUUUAAUCCCAGCACUCGGGAGGCAGAGGCAGGCGGAUUUCUGAGUUCAAGGCCAGCCUGGUCUACAAAGUGAGUUCCAAGACAGCCAGGGAUGCACAGAGAAACCCUGUCUCAAUACCCCCCCCCCCAAAAAAAAAAAACCUGACAAUGUUUCCCCAUGUUUCUAGUAAACUGAAGCUUUUUUUGCAUUUUAUAAUAAAAAACAUAUUACAGGUACUACACAAUCCUGUAAGACAAGCAGUUGUAGAGAGAUCUAAUUGUACCUUCAAAGAGAUGCUUAAUAAACAGGGGUAACAAAGACUCCCAGAGGUAGAUUACUUUGGUAGUUUGAAUAUGCUUGGCCCAGGGAGUAGCACUAUUUGAAGAUGUGGCCCUGUUGGAGUAGGUGUGGUCUUGUUGGAGGAAGUGUAUCAUUGUUGGAGUGGGCUUUAGGACUCUCAUCUUAGCUGCCUGGAAGCCAGUAUUCUCCUGUCUGCCUUUGGAUGAAGAUGUAGAACUCUCAGCUCCUCCAACCCCACUCCUGCCUGGAUGCUGCUAUGUUCCCACCUUGAUAAUUGACUGAACCUCUGAACCUGUAAGCCAACCUCAGUUAAAUGCUGUUCUUGACAAGUAUAGGUCAUAGUAUCUGUUCACAGCAGUAAAACCCUAACCAAGACAAUUACAUAAUGCUUUAUUAACUUUAAAAUUUUUAAAUCCUAAUGAGGAAAAAAAUAGCUGCUGAGAGAAAUUAGAUGAUAGAAAAAAACUGCUGAACUAAAUCACCAUAUUUAUGUUAAGGAUGCCCUAACUUCAGAAUGGAAGACAAAAAAUGUGGUAGAGAGGAUGUUUUUUUAUUUGUUUCAAUAGGAGAAAACAAACUGAAGAUUUCACCCAAACUUAUAAAAAUCAGAUUUGAUUAGGGGAGACUCCCUGAUGAUCUUGGCUGCAGAGAGGAACAAAGAAAUUUAGAGGACAAACAAUAGAUAACACAUAUUGCUGAUCCCUCUACAAGGGAAUAGCUCUGAAACAGGCUGAGAAAUGUCAAUGUCUGCAGCCAGAACAUGAGCUCUUCAUUUCUAAUAAAUCUUGUUGUCUAUUAAAUUCUCAGGACUCACCAUGCCAUCAUUUCUUAUGGCAUGAAUGAAAAUUUAUCACAGUUCGGUUAUUGUGAUUUGAAUAGGUUUGCAACCUCAUAGACUCAUGUGUUUGAAUUCUUGGCCCAUGGGGAGUUGCACUAUUAGGAGGACUGGCGUCGUUGGAGUAGGUGUGGCUUUGUUGGAAGAAGUGAAUGGUGGGCUUAGAUUUCCCCUCCUAUGCUUAGGCUCAGCCCAGUGCAAUGCAGAUGACAGUGGCCUCCUGUUGCCUGAAGAUCAAGAUGUAGAACUCUUAGCUUCUUCUCCAAUAGCAUGUCUUCCUGCAGGCUGCCAUGCUUCUUGCUAUGAUAAUAAUGCACUGAACCUCUGAAAUUGUAAGCCAGCCCCAAAUAAAUAUUUUUUUU
rnacentral:lncRNA from 1 species